rnacentral:rRNA from 1 species
AGGUGAACCUGCGGAAGGAUCAUUAACGAAUAUAAAUCGGAAAGCUGUCGCUGGCCCUCUGGGCAUGUGCACGCCGACCGUGUUUCAUAAAUUUCUCACCUGUGAACCUAAUGUAGGAUGCCUCUCUUUCGGGAGGGGGGACCUAUGUCUUCAUAUACAUCUCCGUGUAGAAAGUCUUAGAAUGUUUACUAUCAUAGAGUCGCGACUUCUAGGAGACGCGAAUCUGUGAGAUAAAAGUUAUUACAACUUUCAGCAAUGGAUCUCUUGGCUCUCGCAUCGAUGAAGAACGCAGCGAAAAGCGAUAUGUAAUGUGAAUUGCAGAUCUACAGUGAAUCAUCGAAUCUUUGAACGCACCUUGCGCUCCUCGGUGUUCCGAGGAGCAUGCCUGUUUGAGUGUCAGUAAAUUCUCAACCCCUCUUGAUUGAGGGAGUUUGGAUAGUGGGGGUUGCUGGAGACUUAGGACUCGGGCUCUCCUGAAAUGCAUCGGCUUGCGGUCGACUUUCGACUAUGCGCGACAAGGCUUUCGGCGUGAUAAUGAUCGCCGUUCGCUGAAGCGCAUGAAUGAAGGUUUCGCGCCUCUAAUACGUCGACUCUUAUUAUCUCUUCGGAGAGAAAAGGUCUUCUUUAUUGACUUUUGACCUCAAAUCAGGUAGGACUACCCGCUGAACUUAAGCAUAUCAAUAAGCGGAGGAAAAGAAACUAACAAGGAUUCCCCUAGUAACUGCGAGUGAACCGGGAAAAGCUCAAAUUUUGAAUCUGG